rnacentral:rRNA from 1 species
UACGUAGGGUCCAAGCGUUAAUCGGAAUUACUGGGCGUAAAGCGUGCGCAGGCGGUGAUGUAAGACAGGUGUGAAAUCCCCGGGCUUAACCUGGGAACUGCAUUUGUGACUGCAUCGCUGGAGUGCGGCAGAGGGGGAUGGAAUUCCGCGUGUAGCAGUGAAAUGCGUAGAUAUGCGGAGGAACACCGAUGGCGAAGGCAUCCCCUGGGCCUGCACUGACGCUCAUGCACGAAAGCGUGGGGAGCAAACAGG